CACCCUCUUCACGCUGAAAUUUACAGGAAAAAAACAGGGAAAAACAUCUACGGGUUGCCCAACAUUGUGUCUUAACUCCACCCCAAAAGUGACUCAAGGAGAAUAGAUUUGCCCAAGUCCUAUAUAUAUAGCUCAAAUAUCUAAUUUCAAAUAAAUGUAGGACAACAGCUAUGUUAUGAUCUACUUCAUGGAAUUAAAAAUAAUUAAGCUAAAUGGCGAAAAAUGAUUCAUAUAGUUCAUCACAACUAGUUUGAGAUUAACUUAGUCGCUGUACAAUUGGAAAAGUUGCAAGUGAAAUAAUGAAAAAUAAACCAAAAUUUCAAAUUCAUGGGAGGUGUCUACCUUGCAAUGAAUAAAUUCAAACAAUAACAUGCCCUUCCAUUGGCAAUUUGUAAUAUAUCAAAGCAAUGGCAAGUUUUAAAGUAAAUGUCUAACUUGAAAAAAGAACACAGAAAGCUCACGUUCAUUUCAUCUCUAAGGAAGUGGGAAUAAUAUGCACACAUUAUUUCAUGGUGGACCAACAAGAAGAUCUGCUGCGUGCAAUGAAAAAUUAAAAAGACAACUCAACCAAAUUCAUAUGCAAUUUUGAAAAGAAAGGUCAACUCCACUUCACAAAGUUGGCUGCUAACAAAAAUUAACAAUAAAAAUAGUGAAACAAAAUAUUUGCCAUAUUUCAAACUCGUAUCUUUAAAGCAAGUGAUUAGCUUGAUCUCACCAUUAGGUAAAGGCAACAAAUUUGAAAAGACGGCUCAUGUGGCUAAUUCAACAACUCUUUUUUAUUGGUUGAUCAAAAGAGAGCUAAUGGAGAACACCAAGAAGGUAGAGCAUGGGAAGACAGCAUUUGCUAGUGCAAAGUGGGGCGACAGAAAGCGACCUAAGUGGUACAUACAGAUACACACACGUUAGACAAUGAGUAUUGCCAAAUCCAAAACAGGAUGGGAGUUUUAUGCAUAUAGUAAGUUUUCUUACUAAAAAGGCAAAAUCAAGGGGCAAAGGCAUUAAGGCAAUGAAGGAAGCCUGUGGGGAAAAAGCUUGAGAAAACAAUUGGGGGAAUAUGUAGCAAUCCUUGCCGUGUUUGCUUCUACUAAAAACAUUCAAAUCAUUACCCAGGUCUACAUUGAUCCCAAUAAUAUAUCAGUAUGGUAUAUAAUGUAGGCCCAUUCCCCACAUGGCAUUCCACUCUUGUUAACUGCAAAUUAAAUCUUCAUAAUUGUUAGCUGAUUUGGUAUUCAAUAAAAGUAUGAUUUCAGCUAUCACACGGGUUUGAUUUGCUUAUCAUUGAAGAUCCCAUUAACAAGUAUAAUUAUAAUACAUUUAAUUAAGGAAAUUAUCUCCCUCGACUUCAGCUCAUACACCAAGCAAAUGCAGAAUUCACAUAGUAUGUUCAAGAAUUUGAUACUUACUAAACCGUAAAUCUUUAAGCUUGUUAUUGUCUGAGCUUUUUUUGUUUGCUGCCACCAAUUUGAGACACCACAUUUGUCGCAUAAGAAAAUUGCAAAAGCAGGCUGCACUUUCCACUGGUAAUUUUCCAAGGCAUGAGAGGCCGCCAAGUUUUCCCAUCAAGAAUCACUAACUUAAGCAUGGUUUGAACUGCAGUGAUUGUUCCAUUGUGAAAGUGUAGAGA
rnacentral:misc_RNA from 1 species